CCCGUCUCUGCUUCCCCACAAAUCAGCCGCCGCUGCUCCUCCCGCCCCGUCGCCCAGCCGCCGCGCCGCCAGUCUCGAUCUCCGCCGCUGCCCUCAGCCGCCGUUGGCCCGUCGCCCCAGCAUCCGGCCUAGCCGUCGCUGCGCCGCCGGCCUGCUGGGCUCGGCCGCCUCGUGGCUCUCCUCCUCCGGCGCCAUGGCUCGGGAGAAAGCUUCGCUGGGUCAUCGCAAGCUCCCGGCUGGUCGCUCGCGUGAUGUGGGCUUCUCUCGGUGUGCCGCCUAUGUGAGUGAUGGUGAUGCUCCCAGUGAUGAUCCUGCGAGUGAUGGUUCUGAGUCCGAUUUUGCUGCUGAGGCUAAAGGAGUGGCUGUGCCUCUUGCCAAGCAACCUAAAGGGAGCCGUGUUGUAAAAAAAACCUGCUCCUUCCACUGGCCGCAGCAAGAAGAAAAAGAGGGUUGCCUCCCCUCCUCCUACUGAGCCAAAAUCAUUCUGUAUCACUCGUCCUGCUGCUUCUCCUAAUCAUGAGCCCGUUGAUUACUCACACCACUCUUCUCAUGCUCUUCAGCUUGUGCGUAACCAAACCAACCCCUAUCGCCGGUGUCAAUCUGUUCGCAUCUAUCGUCGGUUUCAUGUUCACUAUCAACAAGACAUCUAUGAGAGUAUGUGCAUGCAUGUGAAAGUUCUUGAGUCUCAAUGGGUGGAUCUUGCUAUUGUCAGGAAGAGGCCCGAUGUCUUCGAGGGCGUGCUUGAGCUUCUCGAGUCCAAGGGACUCAUGGAUAUCAUUUCCUUUAAGCAGGAUUGGUGUGCUGAGUUGAUCAUGCAGUUCUAUGCAACUUGCUAUUUUGGCAAUGACCCCGAUCGUACGGUGUUUUGGAUGACUGAUGGUACCCAAUGCAAAUUCACCUAUGAUGAGUGGGCUGAGAUUCUUGGACUAGAUGGUUUUAAUGCCCCCAGAAAGAAGCUUCAUGAAACCGGCUCCUCAGUGAAGGUUGAUGGUCUUGCAUUACUUUAUCCUCCACAGACUCCUUCAUCUGAGUUUGGCCUUGCUUCCCUGAUGCUUCCCAAAUACUUUCACAUUCAUAAGAUUCUGAGGCCGGUUUUUAUUGGUAAAGGAGGAGACAAAGGCCGGAUGUGGGACUACGCCCUGGAUAUAAUGCAUUUCAUGGCCCAAUCUGAAAAGUUCCAUAUCUUUGACUAUAUCUACAAUGAGAUUCGCAGGGCUACACUUGUCAAACGCUCUCUCCCAUAUGCCCCGUUCAUUAUGGCUCUCAUUGUAUCCUCUGCAACCCACCUGGGAGAGAUUCACAUGGAAUGUAAGCACAAUCCUUACAAACCCCGGGUCGGUGAGGUUGACAAGGUCAGGCUCGCCAAGGCGACGGAGCCCGCUUUCACCAGUUCCUCUCAUGCUGCUCCUCCCAAGAAAGUCUCCAAGUGGCAGAAGUUUGUUUCUCAAGGAUUUUUGGCCUGUUUCACAAGUGCCCGCAACAAUGCACUCGAAAUUGAGCAGCUCAAGCACCAUCACAACUCCAAGUACAUCGCGCUCAAGGCCCAGCUUCGUGACACC
rnacentral:rRNA from 1 species